rnacentral:lncRNA from 1 species
ACAUUGAGACACCAGAAGAAACAAAUGCACAUUAAAUCAAAAAUGACUCCAAAAAUCUUGACAAAAUUCAUGAGUAAACAGGACAUAUAACAUGAUCAUCACACAAAAAAUUAGAGGCAUUGGACAUCAUUAGGCAUCGCAAUCACUUUGAUCAAUCAAGACAAGCACAUGUGUGACACAAAUUGUCACACCAAGUUAGCAUAGGCAUAAAACAGAGAUGGAUCAUGG